GGACAUUUGAUAGCAUUGAGCAUGCCUGGUCGUGUUCUAAGGAAAGGGGAAAAAAAAAACCCUACUGCAGAUAAAUCGGAAUUUGUUUUCAGGUUCUGCCAUCUCCGGUGAUGAACUUAAUCUCCUUGAGCUUCAUUUUCCUCCAUCUCCGAAGGGAUAACUGGGACUGCAUUAACAUAGACUAAUAAAAGCAAACAAGCAGAGAGCACCUACCACGUUUGUAAACUGCCCCGGGCGCUCCAGACAAACUCAUAAUCAUUCUGUGAUGUUAACCGUUCAGAAAGAAUGGGACACAAGAAGUUACGUGACUAUAGCUUGGCCUCGGCACCCAUUUAAAUGCUGGGUUGGCUUAGUAGCACCACACCUAUAACCCUGUGGCUCAGGAAGCAGAGACGGGAGAUCCAUCCCUGGAACAGGCUGACUAGAUGGACU
rnacentral:lncRNA from 1 species